AACGAACGCUGGCGGCAGGCUUAACACAUGCAAGUCGAGCGCCCCGCAAGGGGAGCGGCAGACGGGUGAGUAACGCGUGGGAAUCUACCCAUCUCUACGGAAUAACGCAUGGAAACGUGUGCUAAUACCGUAUACGUCCUUCGGGAGAAAGAUUUAUCGGAGAUGGAUGAGCCCGCGUUGGAUUAGCUAGUUAGUGGGGUAAAGGCCUACCAAGGCGACGAUCCAUAGCUGGUCUGAGAGGAUGAUCAGCCACACUGGGACUGAGACACGGCCCAGACUCCUACGGGAGGCAGCAGUGGGGAAUAUUGGACAAUGGGCGCAAGCCUGAUCCAGCCAUGCCGCGUGAGUGAUGAAGGCCCUAGGGUUGUAAAGCUCUUCCACCGGUGAAGAUAAUGACGGUAACCGGAGAAGAAGCCCCGGCUAACUUCGUGCCAGCCGCCGCAGUAACAC
rnacentral:rRNA from 1 species